ACUAUAGCUCAGCGAUAGAGGGUCUGUUUUGCAUGCAUAAGGUCCCAGGUUCAAUCCCUGACAUCUCCA